AUCCACAGAGACCUCAAGAGUAAUAAUAUAUUUCUUCAUGAAGACCUCACAGUAAAAAUAGGUGAUUUUGGUCUAGCUACAGUGAAAUCUCGAUGGAGUGGGUCCCAUCAGUUUGAACAGUUGUCUGGAUCCAUUUUGUGGAUGGCACCAGAAGUCAUCAGAAUGCAAGAUAAAAAUCCAUACAGCUUUCAGUCAGAUGUAUAUGCAUUUGGAAUUGUUCUGUAUGAAUUGAUGACUGGACAGUUACCUUAUUCAAACAUCAACAACAGGGACCAGGUGCUUUGUCCUCCAUGGGAGUAUAAUAAAUGAUGUGGCAAGGGCUUACUCUCCAUGAGAGGAAUGUGUGACCAACAGAAGGAUAAUUUUUAUGGUGGGACGAGGAUACCUGUCUCCAGAUCUCAGUAAGGUACGGAGUAACUGUCCAAAAGCCAUGAAGAGAUUAAUGGCAGAGUGCCUCAAAAAGAAAAGAGAUGAGAGACCACUCUUUCCCCAAAUUCUCGCCUCUAUUGAGCUGCUGGCCCGCUCAUUGCCAAAAAUUCACCGCAGUGCAUCAGAACCCUCCUUGAAUCGGGCUGGUUUCCAAACAGAGGAUUUUAGUCUAUAUGCUUGUGCUUCUCCAAAAACACCCAUCCAGGCAGGGGGAUAUGGUGCGUUUCCUGUCCACUGAAACAAAUGAGUGAGAGAGUUCAGGAGAGUAGCAACAAAAGGAAAAUAAAUGAACAUAUGUUUGCUUAUAUGUUAAA
rnacentral:lncRNA from 1 species